AUGGGUGAGGAAAAUCGGAGGUUGCGGUGCGAGCGGCAGUAGGGUGCCAUCAAGAGGUGUAUUUGGAAAUAUCCCUAAUACAGGAU
rnacentral:rRNA from 1 species